GUUGGCCUGUGUGUGGAUGGUGUUCAGCACCAAGGACAGGCAUGUUUGCCUGUGUGUAUGGUGUUCAGCACCAAGGACAGGCAUGUUUGCCU
rnacentral:pre_miRNA from 2 species